AUCCAGUACGCAGCCGCCGCCGCCUGCUGCUCGUGUGGUUCCGACGGUCGCUGACGCCGCGACCCCAUCCCGGCGCUCGGCGGCGCGCAUCGCCGACGCCGCCGCCCCGUUCCUUUCUCUUCCUCCGUGGCCGUCGUUCCCUCGCCGAUGCUCAGACCUCGCUGCGCUCCAACGCUCCCUACUCCCUCGGCUUCUGCCCCUGACCUUGGACGCCGGCAGUCCCCAGCUCCCUCCCAUGGCCGUUUCCAGCCUCUCCCAUGGUCGACCCCAACUCCUCCCAUGGACGCCGUUCCCUCCCUGCUCCAGUUUUAUCCAUGGCUGCGGCCUCGCCGAACCACGCAACCUCUGCUCUCCUUCCCUUGUUUCAAGGGCGAGCUCCCCCUGCUCUUCUGCUCGCGCUGCCCCUGUGCCAUUUUCCAUUCCUGCGGCAAGCACCAGCCCCUCCCCAUGCCAACCUCCCUUUUCUAUAGACGCUGCCCCUCUCUGGUUUCUGGUGGCCAGGCACCUCUGCUGCUCCCAUGGUGAUCUCUAAAUCCCUUUGUUGUUUUACUAGUUCUUAUUAAUACCCUGCUGAUGUGAGGUUUUAUGUGUGUUGAUGUGUGCGAUAUGGAGUAAAAUCCUUGGAGAAUUAGGUGGAGAAGAAGGUUAAGUUCAACGCUCCUUAGGUGUUCGAUGAUAUGCUCGAACUGGUGGUCGUCUUCGUUCUUGCUGAAAUCAAGUCGGAGCAUGAUGUGAUUAGGUUCGAGUAAGUUGGAGAACAUGAUCGUUGUGUUGGGGUAUAUAAACUUCCAAACUUGCAACCAAGGCCAUAAAGACAAAAUGCUCAACCUCAAGACGAACAAGCGAUUGCUGAUUUGCAGACGGUGGGAGAUUUUCUCACCGACAAAAUGCUCAACCUCAAGACGGUGGGAGAUGCACCAUACAGCCGGUAGUGUGAGCUAUGCAUGUUCAGAAUAUGAUUUGGGUGUUCUGGACAAAGAAAGCUUGUACCUUAAAACAGGAGGAUACAAGAAGCUGGAGUGGUUGUCUGAAGGCUUUUGAACUGCUUGAAGCAUUAGUGUAGCUUUUGUGCUUUUGUGACUGAUCAGCUCUGGAGCAGCUAGAGUGAUGUAGUUGUGGGCUUUUGAACAAUAGCUGGAGUGAUAUGAAACAUUAGUGAUGUAGUUGUGGGCUUUUGAACUGCUUCAAGCUGGAGUGAUGUCGCUGUGGUGCUUUUGUGACUGAUCAUCUCUGGAGCUUUUGUGAAUGAUCUAGCUAGCUAUCUGUAAAUGAUCUAGUUGUGAAUGAUAUUAUAACUGUGAUGCUUUUGUGAAUAUAUAAUUGUUGUGCUUUUGUGUU